GGCGUCUGACACAGGGAGCCAAAGCGGGCCGUCAGACGAUCAGGUCAUCAUCAGAUCAGAGCGUCGCAUCCCCUUUGUCGAUCGUGGCACAAAUUCGACGCGGAAAGCGGCCGUGCGUAUCGCUGUCGAGUGCAUCUGCGAGGCGGCCAAACUAAGCAAGCGGCCGGGAGCGGACGCGACGUCGGGCAAAGCCAAGUGGCGAAAUAGAACCGCUGUUUUCGCGGUGCUGUUGCGCUUUUCACGUCUGUCUCGAUGCCGAGUAAAACAAAAGUGGGAGGACUUCAAAAGUGCGAUGUGGCUGACGUCACCCCAGAUUGGAUCGCACGGUUCCGAUCUAUCCGGACCAUCUCUUUCAAGGCUUUUGCUUGCCGUGCAAGUUCUUGGUGUGAGAACUCUUCCUUCCCGGAAAUUGCUUUGCUGAGCCAACGUGGAAGGAAGUCAAACUUGUUAUGAACUGUUGCAGUGUUGCCUGGUGACAUCAAACCGUCAAGCGCAUCAUGUAAGAAGGCAUGGCGCCUCCGCUUUGGCUCGAUUCGGAGGCGCUUGGCACCCGGGUUGGGGCUGGGCGGCAGGGAGGACAACGUCCGGACGAGCGGAAUGUCGCCGUCGCGACGUCGGCACCGCAAGCCACCAAGUGCAAGACUCCAAACUCAAGCCCGACUGGGGGGAGGGAGGGAGACAAGAAGGGAGGGAGUGACGCGUCCUGCCAGCCCGAGUUCGGAUGGGAACGUCCCGAACCGGACUGCUCUGAUGGCUCUUCGUGACGUCUCGAACUGCGCGCACUCGCGCACACAGGUUGACCCGAACCGAGCCGCUAUCCGCCCAGUGCGUGCGUGUGUGUGUGUGCGCGCGUUCGCGUUUGCAGGCUGAAGGAGCGGAAAAGAAAAUUGCGGGGAGCCAAACUUGCUGGCGGUCAAGUAGAGCUGCGCGCGUGCACGCGCUUUCAGUGCGUUCGUGUCAAAGUUGGGAGAGGAAAUCCCUCCGCCACUUCCUCUUCUUCCUUCUUUUUUUCUCUCGUUUCAAACUUUCUCCCAAAUGGCGCCCUCUGUCUCUCAGACCUUGUGCGGCGAGGGGGAGAAAAGCGGCGGCUUCUUCCCUCCAUCGGGAGAUGUCGCGACCAUGUGUCCCUUGUGGCCAAGCGGAGCCCUUCCUUCCACACUCGUUUGGGUAAAACGAGUCAGCUUGUCCUGGCUUGACGCUGAUUCUGAUAUCUGUUCAAAAGAAAUAUUUAGUUAUUUGUAGAACUAGCACUCAGUUACUUGGCACCAGUAAGAGAAGAACCCGUUGGAUGUGUGCAAGUUGUCCGAAAAAUGUAUCAAUAAAGAUAAUGAGGAUGAUGAGAAGGAUGAGGAUGCAAGCCACAAGCAAAUGGUCCUGUGCUUAAAUGGCUUUUUUCCUUCAACAUUCCAAAUCAUGUUAAUAUAGUUUGUCUGUAUGCAGCCGGAUGGGGCCAAUUGCUAUUGCUCCAUAAAGCUUACUUUCAUUUUUCA